UUACAACCAUAUCAUGCUGAAAACACUGGUUCUUGUAUGAUCACCGGAGUUAAGCAACAUUGAGCCUGGUAAGAACCUAGAUAGGUGACCACUUGGGAAUAUCAUGUG